rnacentral:rRNA from 1 species
CACGUAGGGGGCGAGCGUUGUCCGGAUUUAUUGGGCGUAAAGAGCUCGUAGGCGGCUCAGUAAGUCAGGUGUGAAAACUCCAGGCUCAACCUGGAGACGCCACCUGAUACUGCUGUGGCUAGAGUCCGGUAGGGGAGCAUGGAAUUCCUGGUGUAGCGGUGAAAUGCGCAGAUAUCAGGAGGAACACCGGUGGCGGAAGGCAGCACCUCUGG